rnacentral:rRNA from 1 species
UGCCAGCCUCCGCGGUACUACUGAUUGUGCAAGCGUUGUUCGGAAUGAUUGGGCGUAAAGCGCGUGUAGGCGGUUCGUUAAGUCUGAUGUGAAAGCCCGGUGCUCAACCCCGUAAGUGCAUUGGAAACUGGCGAACUUGAGUACGGGAGAGGAAAGUGGAAUUCCGAGUGUAGGGGUGAAAUCCGUAGAUAUUCGGAGGAAAACCAGUGGCGAAGGCGGCUUUCUGGACCGAUACUGACUCUGAGACGCGAACGCGGGGGGAGCAAACAGGAUUAGAUA